rnacentral:rRNA from 1 species
AAAACCAACCCAAGUUCGGAUUGAGGGCUGAAACUCGCCCUCAUGAAGAUGGAAUCCCUAGUAAUCGCUUGUCACUAUCGAGCGGUGAAUCUGUCCCUGCUCCUUGCACACACCGCCUGCCAAGUCACCCAAGUAGGGCCCUAGUGAGGUAGCGUCUUCGGGCGCUUUCGAGUUAGGGUUCUGUGAGGAGGGCUAAGGCAUAACAAGGUAUCCGUAGGGGAACCUGCGGAUAGAUCACCUCGA